CCUAUGGGAGGCUGCAGUGGGGAAUAUUGGACAAUGGGCGAAAGCCUGAUCCAGCCAUGCCGCGUGUGUGAAGAAGGCCUUCGGGUUGUAAAGCACUUUCAGUGGGGAAGAAAGCCUUGGGGCUAAUACCCUCGAGGAAGGACAUCACCCACAGAAGAAGCACCGGCUAACUCCGUGCCAGCAGCCGCGGUAAUACGGAGGGUGCGAGCGUUAAUCGGAAUUACUGGGCGUAAAGCGCGCGUAGGCGGUCUGAUAAGCCGGUUGUGAAAGCCCCGGGCUCAACCUGGGAACGGCAUCCGGAACUGUCAGGCUAGAGUGCAGGAGAGGAAGGUAGAAUUCCCGGUGUAGCGGUGAAAUGCGUAGAGAUCGGGAGGAAUACCAGUGGCGAAGGCGGCCUUCUGGACUGACACUGACGCUGAGGUGCGAAAGCGUGGGUAGCAAACAGGAUUAGAUACCCCUGUAGUC
rnacentral:rRNA from 1 species